AUAGGUAACUAACCACACCACCUUGUUCAUAGGUAACUAACCACACCACCACUACCUUGUUCAUAGGUAACUAAUCACACCACCAUGUUCAUAGGUAACUAACCACACCACCUUGUUCAUAGGUAACUAACCACACCACCACUACCUUGUUCAUAGGUAACUAAUCACACCACCUUGUUCAUAGGUAACUAACCACACCACCACUACCUUGUUCAUAGGUAACUAACCACACCACCUUGUUCAUAGGUAACUAAUCACACCACCUUGUUCAUAGGUAACUAACCACCACGACGUUCAUCGGUAACUAACCACACCACCACGUUGAUAGUGUACAACUCCUGCAUGCAGACGGUUCCUGUCCCGGUGGUCGGCCUGUACCCAAACACACAAUGCAGCAGGACGGUGCAUUUCUCUCCCUGGAUCAGACCCUCGUCCCCAGACACAACUGGCUCUGGAGCACACGGUGACACUAACAGCCCUGUGAAUGAUCCAUGUUAAAACCGUCAACUAAACAAUUUCCUGCCAAACGUUGUCAGUGUGUUGCGUUGGUCCAUUUAAGGCACAGGUGUCAAACUCAUUCCAGAGGGACGAGUGUCUGCGG
rnacentral:lncRNA from 1 species